rnacentral:misc_RNA from 1 species
CUGUCGGCACCAUUAUUCAUCGUCAUCCCCUGCACUUGUUGCAAAAGAGAGUAAUUGUGGUGAUCAUUAUGUGAAUGGCUGAAGGAUUCAAUAUUUCUUUGAGAAGAAGCUUGAGCAAGGUCGUUGCUAUGCCUUACUGGUCCUGCCACUGAGCAUGAGACAUCAAUGAGCCAGAUGUGAGAGCAGUUUCAUCAGAAACAGGUUGUGGCCCUAGAGACACGCCACCUGACUGAGAAGUAUCAAGCAUCUUAGAUGACAUUCGUUGUUGCAACACCUCUUUUCCAGGAUUGUCUUCCCCAUGUCCAAAGCCUUGUGAAUUAGAAGAAGCACCA